rnacentral:rRNA from 1 species
GCCUUGGCACUAGAAGCCGAUGAAGGACGUUACUAACGACGAUAUGCUUUGGGGAGCUGUAAGUAAGCUUUGAUCCAGAGAUUUCCGAAUGGGGAAACCCAGCAUGAGUUAUGUCAUGUUAUCGAUAUGUGAAUACAUAGCAUAUCAGAAGGCACACCCGGAGAACUGAAACAUCUUAGUACCCGGAGGAAGAGAAAGAAAAUUCGAUUCCCUUAGUAGCGGCGAGCGAAACGGGAAGAGCCCAAACCAACAAGCUUGCUUGUUGGGGUUGUAGGACACUCUAUACGGAGUUACAAAGGACGACAUUAGACGAAUCAUCUGGAAAGAUGAAUCAAAGAAGGUAAUAAUCCUGUAGUCGAAAAUGUUGUCUCUCUUGAGUGGAUCCUGAGUACGACGGAGCACGUGAAAUUCCGUCGGAAUCUGGGAGGACCAUCUCCUAAGGCUAAAUACUCUCUAGUGACCGAUAGUGAACCAGUACCGUGAGGGAAAGGUGAAAAGCACCCCGGAAGGGGAGUGAAAUAGAACCUGAAACCGUGUGCUUACAAGUAGUCAGAGCCCGUUAAUGGGUGAUGGCGUGCCUUUUGUAGAAUGAACCGGCGAGUUACGAUUUGAUGCAAGGUUAAGCAGUAAAUGUGGAGCCGUAGCGAAAGCGAGUCUGAAUAGGGCGUUUAGUAUUUGGUCGUAGACCCGAAACCAGGUGAUCUACCCUUGGUCAGGUUGAAGUUCAGGUAACACUGAAUGGAGGACCGAACCGACUUACGUUGAAAAGUGAGCGGAUGAACUGAGGGUAGCGGAGAAAUUCCAAUCGAACCUGGAGAUAGCUGGUUCUCUCCGAAAUAGCUUUAGGGCUAGCCUCAAGUGAUGAUUAUUGGAGGUAGAGCACUGUUUGGACGAGGGGCCCCUCUCGGGUUACCGAAUUCAGACAAACUCCGAAUGCCAAUUAAUUUAACUUGGGAGUCAGAACAUGGGUGAUAAGGUCCGUGUUCGAAAGGGAAACAGCCCAGACCACCAGCUAAGGUCCCAAAAUAUAUGUUAAGUGGAAAAGGAUGUGGCGUUGCCCAGACAACUAGGAUGUUGGCUUAGAAGCAGCCAUCAUUUAAAGAGUGCGUAAUAGCUCACUAGUCGAGUGACACUGCGCCGAAAAUGUACCGGGGCUAAACAUAUUACCGAAGCUGUGGAUUGUCCUUUGGACAAUGGUAGGAGAGCGUUCUAAGGGCGUUGAAGCAUGAUCGUAAGGACAUGUGGAGCGCUUAGAAGUGAGAAUGCCGGUGUGAGUAGCGAAAGACGGGUGAGAAUCCCGUCCACCGAUUGACUAAGGUUUCCAGAGGAAGGCUCGUCCGCUCUGGGUUAGUCGGGUCCUAAGCUGAGGCCGACAGGCGUAGGCGAUGGAUAACAGGUUGAUAUUCCUGUACCACCUAUAAUCGUUUUAAUCGAUGGGGGGACGCAGUAGGAUAGGCGAAGCGUGCGAUUGGAUUGCACGUCUAAGCAGUAAGGCUGAGUAUUAGGCAAAUCCGGUACUCGUUAAGGCUGA